GACGAACGCUGGCGGCGUGCUUAACACAUGCAAGUCGAACGGAAAGGCCCUGCUUUUGUGGGGUGCUCGAGUGGCGAACGGGUGAGUAACACGUGAGUAACCUGCCCUUGACUUUGGGAUAACUUCAGGAAACUGGGGCUAAUACCGGAUAGGAGCUCCUGCUGCAUGGUGGGGGUUGGAAAGUUUCGGCGGUUGGGGAUGGACUCGCGGCUUAUCAGCUUGUUGGUGGGGUAGUGGCUUACCAAGGCUUUGACGGGUAGCCGGCCUGAGAGGGUGACCGGCCACAUUGGGACUGAGAUACGGCCCAGACUCCUACGGGAGGCAGCAGUGGGGAAUAUUGCUCAAUGGGUGGAAGCCUGAUGCAGCAACGCCGUGUGCGGGAUGACGGCCUUCGGGUUGUAAACCGCUUUCGCUCAUGACGAAGCUUUGUGUGACGGUAGUGGGUAAAGAAGCACCGGCUAACUACGUG
rnacentral:rRNA from 1 species